rnacentral:rRNA from 1 species
UAGAGUUUGAUCCUGGCUCAGAACGAACGCUGGCGGCAUGCCUAACACAUGCAAGUCGAACGAGCCCUUCGGGGUUAGUGGCGCACGGGUGCGUAACGCGUGGGAAUCUGCCCCUUGGUUCGGAAUAACAGCUAGAAAUGGCUGCUAAUACCGGAUGACGACGUAAGUCCAAAGAUUUAUCGCCGAGGGAUGAGCCCGCGUAGGAUUAGCUAGUUGGUGGGGUAAAGGCCUACCAAGGCGACGAUCCUUAGCUGGUCUGAGAGGAUGAUCAGCCACACUGGGACUGAGACACGGCCCAGACUCCUACGGGAGGCAGCAGUGGGGAAUAUUGGACAAUGGGCGAAAGCCUGAUCCAGCAAUGCCGCGUGAGUGAUGAAGGCCUUAGGGUUGUAAAGCUCUUUUACCCGGGAUGAUAAUGACAGUACCGGGAGAAUAAGCCCCGGCUAACUCCGUGCCAGCAGCCGCGGUAAUACGGAGGGGGCUAGCGUUGUUCGGAAUUACUGGGCGUAAAGCGCACGUAGGCGGCUUUGUAAGUUAGAGGUGAAAGCCUGGAGCUUAACUCCAGAAUUGCCUUUAAGACUGCAUCGCUUGAAUCCGAGAGAGGUGAGUGGAAUUCCGAGUGUAGAGGUGAAAUUCGUAGAUAUUCGGAAGAACACCAGUGGCGAAGGCGGCUCACUGGCUCGGUAUUGACGCUGAGGUGCGAAAGCGUGGGWGAGCAAACAGGAUUAGAUACCCUGGUAGUCAAUCC